GACGAACGCUGGCGGCGUGCUUAACACAUGCAAGUCGAACGCUGAAGCCCAGCUUGCUGGGUGGAUGAGUGGCGAACGGGUGAGUAACACGUGAGUAACCUGCCCCCUUCUUUGGGAUAACGCCCGGAAACGGGUGCUAAUACUGGAUAUUCACUGAUCUUCGCAUGGGGGUUGGUGGAAAGGUUUUUUCUGGUGGGGGAUGGGCUCGCGGCCUAUCAGCUUGUUGGUGGGGUAGUGGCUUACCAAGGCUUUGACGGGUAGCCGGCCUGAGAGGGUGACCGGCCACAUUGGGACUGAGAUACGGCCCAGACUCCUACGGGAGGCAGCAGUGGGGAAUAUUGCACAAUGGGCGGAAGCCUGAUGCAGCAACGCCGCGUGCGGGAUGACGGCCUUCGGGUUGUAAACCGCUUUCGCCUGUGACGAAGCGUGAGUGACGGUAAUGGGUAAAGAAGCACCGGCUAACUACGUGCCAGCAGCCGCGGUGAUACGUAGGGUGCGAGCGUUGUCCGGAUUUAUUGGGCGUAAAGGGCUCGUAGGUGGUUGAUCGCGUCGGAAGUGUAAUCUUGGGGCUUAACCCUGAGCGUGCUUUCGAUACGGGUUGACUUGAGGAAGGUAGGGGAGAAUGGAAUUCCUGGUGGAGCGGUGGAAUGCGCAGAUAUCAGGAGGAACACCAGUGGCGAAGGCGGUUCUCUGGGCCUUUCCUGACGCUGAGGAGCGAAAGCGUGGGGAGCGAACAGGCUUAGAUACCCUGGUAGUCCACGCUGUAAACGGUGGGUACUAGGUGUGGGGUCCAUUCCACGGGUUCCGUGCCGUAGCUAACGCUUUAAGUACCCCGCCUGGGGAGUACGGCCGCAAGGCUAAAACUCAAAGGAAUUGACGGGGCCCCGCACAAGCGGCGGAGCAUGCGGAUUAAUUCGAUGCAACGCGUAGAACCUUACCUGGGUUUGACAUGGAUCGGGAGUGCUCAGAGAUGGGUGUGCCUCUUUUGGGGUCGGUUCACAGGUGGUGCAUGGCUGUCGUCAGCUCGUGUCGUGAGAUGUUGGGUUAAGUCCCGCAACGAGCGCAACCCUUGUUCACUGUUGCCAGCACGUUAUGGUGGGGACUCAGUGGAGACCGCCGGGGUCAACUCGGAGGAAGGUGGGGAUGACGUCAAGUCAUCAUGCCCCUUAUGUCCAGGGCUUCACGCAUGCUACAAUGGCUGGUACAGAGAGUGGCGAGCCUGUGAGGGUGAGCGAAUCUCGGAAAGCCGGUCUCAGUUCGGAUUGGGGUCUGCAACUCGACCUCAUGAAGUCGGAGUCGCUAGUAAUCGCAGAUCAGCAACGCUGCGGUGAAUACGUUCCCGGGGCU
rnacentral:rRNA from 1 species